rnacentral:rRNA from 1 species
UAGGGAAUAUUGGUCAAUGGGUGAGAGCCUGAACCAGCCAUGCCGCGUGCAGGAAGAAGGCCUUCUGGGUUGUAAACUGCUUUUGCCAGGGGAUAAAAAUACCUUGCGAGGUAAAUUGAAGGUACCUGGUGAAUAAGCCACGGCUAACUACGUGCCAGCAGCCGCGGUAAUACGUAGGUGGCAAGCGUUGUCCGGAUUUAUUGGGUUUAAAGGGUGCGUAGGCGGCCCUGUAAGUCAGUGCUGAAAUAUCCCAGCUUAACUGGGAGGGUGGCAUUGAUACUGCGGGGCUAGAGUACAGAUGAGGUAGGCGGAAUUGACGGUGUAGCGGUGAAAUGCUUAGAUAUCGUCAAGAACACCUAUAGCGAAGGCAGCUUACUAGGCUGUAACUGACGCUGAGGCACGAAGUGUGGGGAUCAAACAGGAUUAGAUACCCUGGUAGUCCACACUGUAACGUUGAUUACUCGCUGUGUGCGAUAUACAGUACGCCGG